ensembl:snRNA U2 U2 spliceosomal RNA
UUCUAGUCCUAGAUUUCUAUGAUCUAUUAAGUUAUAUCUGUUCUUAUCAGUUUAAUAUCUGAUAUGUCCUUUAUUUGAGGACUGUAUAUUAAAUUGAUUUUUGAAACAGGGGGACGGAAUAGGAGCUUGCUCUGUCCACCCCAUGCAUUGACCUGGUAUUGCAGUGCCUCCAGGAAAAAGGAAAUUUCU